rnacentral:rRNA from 1 species
AACGAACGCUGGCGGCAGGCUUAACACAUGCAAGUCGAGCGCCCCGCAAGGGGAGCGGCAGACGGGUGAGUAACGCGUGGGAAUCUACCUAGUUCUACGGAACAACACAGGGAAACUUGUGCUAAUACCGUAUACGCCCUACGGGGAAAGAUUUAUCGGAAUUAGAUGAGCCCGCGUAAGAUUAGCUAGUUGGUGGGGUA